rnacentral:rRNA from 1 species
UACGGGAGGCAGCAGUGGGGAAUAUUGCACAAUGGGCGCAAGCCUGAUGCAGCCAUGCCGCGUGUAUGAAGAAGGCCUUCGGGUUGUAAAGUACUUUCAGUCGUGAGGAAGGUGUUAAGGUUAAUAACCUUAGCAAUUGACGUUAGCGACAGAAGAAGCACCGGCUAACUCCGUGCCAGCAGCCGCGGUAAUACGGAGGGUGCGAGCGUUAAUCGGAAUUACUGGGCGUAAAGGGCACGCAGGCGGUUAAUUAAGUUGGAUGUGAAAUCCCCGGGCUUAACCUGGGAAUGGCAUUCAAGACUGGUUAGCUAGAGUCUUGUAGAGGGGGUAGAAUUCCAUGUGUAGCGGUGAAAUGCGUAGAGAUGUGGAGGAAUACCGGUGGCGAAGGCGGCCCCUGGCAAAGCUGACGCUCA